GCUAACACAGGCGACGAUACCGUAGCCGUCCGAGGAUGAUCGCCACUGGAGCUGAGACCUGCCGACUCUACCGGAGGCAGGCAGUGGGGAAUAUGACAAUUGGGGACCUGAUCAAGCAUGCCGCCGGUGUGGUGAAGAAGCCUUUUGUGUAAAGCCACUUUAAGUGGGGGAGGAGGCUACCUGGUUAAUACCUGGCUAAGUGGACGUUACCCACAGAAUAAGCACCGGGCUAACUCUGUGCCAGCAGCCGCGGUAAUACAGAGGGUGCGAGCGUUAAUCGGAUUUACUGGGCGUAAAGCGCGCGUAGGUGGUUAAUUAAGUCAAAUGUGAAAUCCCCGAGCUUAACUUGGGAAUUGCAUUCGAUACUGGUUAGCUAGAGUAUGGGAGAGGAUGGUAGAAUUCCAGGUGUAGCGGUGAAAUGCGUAGAGAUCUGGAGGAAUACCGAUGGCGAAGGCAGCCAUCUGGCCUAAUACUGACACUGAGGUGCGAAAGCAUGGGGAGCAAACAGGAUUAGAUACCCUGGUAGUCCAUGCCGUAAACGAUGUCUACUAGCCGUUGGGGGAUUUGAUCCUUUAGUGGCGCAGCUAACGCGAUAAGUAGACCGCCUGGGGAGUACGGUCGCAAGACUAAAACUCAAAUGAAUUGACGGGGGCCCGCACAAGCGGUGGAGCAUGUGGUUUAAUUCGAUGCAACGCGAAGAACCUUACCUGGCCUUGACAUAGUAGAAACUUUCCAGAGAUGGAUUGGUGCCUUCGGGAAUCUACAUACAGGUGCUGCAUGGCUGUCGUCAGCUCGUGUCGUGAGAUGUUGGGUUAAGUCCCGCAACGAGCGCAACCCUUUUCCUUACUUGCCAGCAUUUCGGAUGGGAACUUUAAGGAUACUGCCAGUGACAAACUGGAGGAAGGCGGGGACGACGUCAAGUCAUCAUGGCCCUUACGGCCAGGGCUACACACGUGCUACAAUGGUCGGUACAAAGGGUUGCUACCCAGCGAUGGGAUGCUAAUCUCAAAAAGCCGAUCGUAGUCCGGAUCGCAGUCUGCAACUCGACUGCGUGAAGUCGGAAUCGCUAGUAAUCGCGGAUCAGAAUGCCGCGGUGAAUACGUUCCCGGGCCUUGUACACACCGCCCGUCACACCAUGGGAGUUUGUUGCACCAGAAGUAGGUAGUCUAACCGCAAGGACGACGGUUUCCCUUCUAUGUUUUCGCA
rnacentral:rRNA from 1 species